CCUACGGGUGGCAGCAGGAGGGAAUGUUGGGCAAUGGGCGAAAGCCGGACGCAGCAACGCCGCGGGAAAGAGACGGGCGUAGGGGUGGAAAGCGCUGUUAGUGGGGACGAAAAAUGACGGUACUCACAGAGGAAGCACCGGCUAACUCCGUCCCAGCAGCCGCGGUAAUACGGAGGGGGCAAGCGUUGUCCGGAAUCAUUGGGCGUAAAGAGUUCGUAGGAGGCAGGUAAAGUCAGGUGUUAAAGGCGCAGGCUCAACCUGUGUAUGGCACUUGAUACUUGCAAGCUGGAUUGCGGUAGAGGUAAGGGGAAUUCCUGGUGUAGCGGUGAAAUGCUUAGAUAUCCGGAGGAACAUCGGUGGCGUACGCGCUUUACUGGGCCGUAAUUGACGCUGAGGCACGAAAGCCCGGGUAGCAAAUAGGAUUAGAUACCCCUGUAGUC
rnacentral:rRNA from 1 species